CGAACGCGGAGACGGCGGCGAUUUACGAAAAACAGCCGCUGCGGCCCCGUGAUCUCCCGGAACCCGGAACCACAAUGUUGAGCUCUGCCGCCUGUCGGGACCAGGCUGGCGCCCACAUCCCGGAAAUAAUUAGAGAGCUAUCCUUACAAAAUGAGAGGUUUCUCUAGUUUCAAAAUGCUACUGUGGAAAGUUCAAAGAUCCACAUGAUCUGAGUGAAGUAAGAUCACUACCAGGUGAAUUUUUUGGCUCCCGGACAUGUCCACCACAUAUGGAUCAAAAGGAAGAAUUGAGAGUCAGAGUUGGAAUGUGUGGGUCAAUCUGGAUGAAUAUUGAGGGGAAUCUCCUGACACUAAAAGUUCCCAAACAGAGGAACAGACUGCCUAGAACAGUGGGGAACUCCCUCUCCUUUAAAAUUUUCAAACAGUGAUGAUUGCCACCUACUGUUACGAAUGGACAUUGGAGUAUCCCUGCACUUAACACUUAAUUUAUAUAGCUCCAAUCAUGGAAGCAAAUACAGUGUAGACAGCACCCUUUGGCCUGAGAUCCCUACUGAUUCUCAUAUCUCUUUGUUUCUGGAAAAGAAACAAAAAAGGCUAUGUUACAAACUUCAGAAACCGUUACAGAAACAUAUGCAACCAAAUUAAAACUGAAUGCACAAAUUACCACACCAAGCAAGAAGAAAACCUUCUACGCACAAAUUCCAAUCGUGCCUUUUAUAAUUUUGUCAACAGUAAACUUAAAGAUUCAAGAUCCAUCCCACCACUAAAAGAUUCUAACAACAAAGAAUGCAAUGACGAAACAGUCAAAGCAAACCUCUUCAACAUUUUCUUUGGCUCAGUUUUUGUUAACUCCGAUAACACAUAUCCAACAUUCCACAAACGAACCAGCAAUGACUAUGAUGAUUUAACUCAUAUAGAUUUCACAGAAGACAACGUUGGUAAAGCU